CGGGUGAGUAACGCGUGAGGAACCUGCCUCAAAGAGGGGGACAACAGUUGGAAACGACUGCUAAUACCGCAUAAGCCCACGGUGCCGCAUGGCACAGAGGGAAAAGGAGCAAUCCGCUUUGAGAUGGCCUCGCGUCCGAUUAGCUAGUUGGUGAGGUAACGGCCCACCAAGGCGACGAUCGGUAGCCGGACUGAGAGGUUGAACGGCCACAUUGGGACUGAGACACGGCCCAG
rnacentral:rRNA from 1 species